rnacentral:lncRNA from 1 species
GUGGGGGUUUAUCCGUCGGCAAAACUUGGGAGUGUUGCGGGGGCUCAGCCGCCAGAGAAGUUCGGAGAGAUGCCGCCGAAGGUCAGAAGUCGGUAGAAUCUCCGGAGGGUUAUUCCCGUCAUGAACUUCGGCUGGGGGGUAUUUUAUACCCAACACAUACCUAUCUCUCAAGUAUUUGAAGGUUAGGGACCUAAAACAUUAAUUAGAAAGACCUCGUAGAGUUUCAUC